rnacentral:rRNA from 1 species
CCUGAACGCUGGCGGCGUGGCUAAGACAUGCAAGUCGCACGGACCCGCAAGGGUUAGUGGCGAACGGGUGAGUAAUGAAUCGCUAAUGUGCCCCGGACUCUGAGAUAGCUACCCGAAAGG